rnacentral:rRNA from 1 species
AGCGGCGGACGGGUGAGUAACAUUUAGGAAUCUGCCUAGUAGUGUGGGAUAGCUCGGGGAAACUCGAAUUAAUACCACAUACGACCUACGGGUGAAAGGGGGCGACCUUCAAGCUCUUGCUAUUAGUUGAGCCUAAAUCAGAUUAGCUAGUUGGUGGGGUAAAGGCCCACCAAGGCGAAGAUCUGUAACUGGUCUGAGAAGAUGAUCAGUCACGCCGGAACUGAGACACGGUCCGGACUCCUACGGGAGGCAGCAGUGGGGAAUAUUGGACAAUGGGGGCAACCCUGAUCCAGCCAUGCCGCGUGUGUGAAGAAGGCCUUUGGUUUGUAAAGCACUUUAAGCAGGGAGGAGAGGCUAAUGGUUAAUACCAUUAGAUUUAGACGUUACCUGCAGAAUAAGCACCGGCUAACUCUGUGCCAGCAGCCGCGGUAAUACAGAGGGUGCGAGCGUUAAUCGGAAUUACUGGGCGUAAAGCGAGUGUAGGUGGCUCAUUAAGUCACAUGUGAAAUCCCCGGGCUUAACCUGGGAACUGCAUGUGAUACUGGUGCUGCUAGAAUAUGUGAGAGUGAAGUAUAAUUCCAGGUGUAGCGGUGAAAUGCGUAGAGAUCUGGAGGAAUACCGAUGGCGAAGGCAGCUUCCUGGCUUAAUAUUGACACUGAGAUUCGAAAGCGUGGGUAGCAAACAGGAUUAGAUACCCUGGUAGUCCACGCCGUAAACGAUGUCUACUAGCCGUUGGGGUCCUUGAGACUUUAGUGGCGCAGUUAACGCGAUAAGUAGACCGCCUGGGGAGUACGGCCGCAAGGUUAAAACUCAAAUGAAUUGACGGGGGCCCGCACAAGCGGUGGAGCAUGUGGUUUAAUACGAUGCAACGCGAAGAACCUUACCUGGUCUUGACAUAGUGAGAAUCUUUCAGAGAUGAGAGAGUGCCUUCGGGAAUUCACAUACAGGUGCUGCAUGGCUGUCGUCAGCUCGUGUCGUGAGAUGUUGGGUUAAGUCCCGCAACGAGCGCAACCCUUUUCCUUAUUUGCCAGCGGGUAAUGCCGGGAACUUAAAGGAUACUGCCAGUGACAAACUGGAGGAAGGCGGGGACGACGUCAAGUCAUCAUGGCCCUUACGACCAGGGCUACACACGUGCUACAAUGGUAGGUACAGAGGGUUGCUACACAACGAUGUGAUGCUAAUCUCAAAAAGCCUAUCGUAGUCCGGAUUGGACUCUGCAACUCGACUCCAUGAAGUCGGAAUCGCUA